AGGAUUCCCCCAGUAGCGGCGAGCGAAGUGGGAAGAGCCCCAAAUGAAAAGCCUGCUUGCCGGCGUUGUAAUUGAGCGGUCCGGGUGCGUCAGUGCAGGUAAGUGCCAUGGAAAUGGUCGCCGUGGAGGGUGAGAGCCCCGUCCAGCCUGCACAGGGCGUUGCUGUACGAGACUGUCUCGGGAGAGUCGGGUAGCUUGGGAAUGCUGCUCUAAGCGGUGGUAAAUUUCAUCGAAGGCUAAAUACUGCUGGAAGACCGAUAGCGAACAAGUACCGUGAGGGAAAGAUGAAAAGCACUUUGAAAAGAGGGUGAAAAGAAUCUGAAACCGUUAUGAGGGAAGCGGAUUGCGUUGAAUUGACGGGUGCCGGUGUGUUCAGCUUGCUUCGGCGGGUGUAGUGACAUUGGAUGCUUAUUUGCUGUGAAUUUCUGGUCGCUGAUUGUGGGCAGCUGGAGGUUGAGGGCUCCAUGAAUUUUUGUGUGAGGACAGCAGAGUGACGACGCGAUACGACCCGUCUUGAAACACGGACCAAGGAGUCUAGCACGGCUGCGAGUCUGAGGGUGCAAGCUCGAGGGCGCAGUGAAAGCAAUGCAGAAUGUGUCAGUUUAGGGCGGCAGGCGAUCGUUGAUUGCAUGUCCGACCCGGAGCAGUCGUGGUGGUACCCGAAAGAUGGUGAACUAUUCCUGAGUAGGGUGAAGCCGGA
rnacentral:rRNA from 1 species